UCAAUCAAUUCGAUUUCUUUCUAUUUUUAAGUACACCAAACGCUUCACGCUCCUUGGGAUUAUUAUAACAGUGAGAACCCCAUUUCACUAAUCGCCAGGGAGGGCAUAAGCAUGUCUUACUCAAAAUCGAUAGAUAGGUUGGUAGAGAGGUGGAAAUUGACCCCUCUGAGCUUGCGCAUUCACUUACUUGACUAAGGUUCAUACAAGAUCGGAUUGGAAUCGAUGACUUCAACCUAUUACCUUAGUAGUCCUAGGCAUAUAAAAGGCAUUCCAUUUUUUCUAGGGAUUCGUUUAUCA
rnacentral:lncRNA from 1 species